rnacentral:lncRNA from 1 species
GUCCUCGAGUAAAGGUUAAAAAUGAGUGAUCAAUGGUUUCUAACUUAAGAUAGUAGUGAGCAUAAAAUGCUAGUUCGAACAUAGUUCAUCCAAAUGGGUUUUUGUGUAAGUGUCUAGCAUAUAUCCUUCAGAGGUUGAGAAAAGGAACAACUCUCAGAACAAGAUCAAAUUCCAAUUUCAUAUUCUUGGUACUUAGAGUUUUUAUGACACUUUUUAAAAUAAGUCACAUAGUUCAAUCCUACUCCUCAUUUAGCGCUCUAGAUCACUCAAAGUUUUUUUUUAGUAGUCCUCACCAAGGCAUGAAUGCCAACUUGUUUCAUCCUAUAACUAUAGGCUUAUAUGGGGCUUGGUAGGGAUAAACAAGGUAGCAUACUCUACUUUGCAAAUAUUGUUAAGUCAAAAACAAGGAUCCAAAGAGAGGAGUGUCAUAGUCAUAGAUCAAGAUGUGCAAGUGUGUUAUAUGGUGGACUAGGUUGCUCCUUUAUUUGCUACACUCUCUCUACUUGUAUAUUGAGACAUGGCUAGAUUUUCUUUUUCUUCGAGCUUUAUGUGCUCAAUUUUUUUUUAUACUUCAUGGACUUGCACAUGUCCAUUUUUUUCUUUUUCUUUUAUUUUGCUAAGCCUUUUAUGUCUCAUUUUCUAAACAAUAUUUAGAGAGGUGUUCUAACACUUAGAGUAUGGAGCAACCUAUUUAGUGGAUGCACAAUACAUGUGGUUGCGUACUUCCAGUGUAGAAGCAGCAUAUAUAUAUGUGGUGUGUACGUGAUCUUGAUCUUGUGACUAUGAUACAACUCUCACUAGGGUCAACAAGGUUUUGACAAAACUCAUAACAAAAGCAGGUUGCAUUUCAUAAAAUAGUUACUUGAAUAUCUAAGUGUAUGGCUUUUGGUGGGAAUUUCUUGCUAAUGAGGAGUAAAUGAUACUAUGGUUUUGUGAUAUUUUUGAAACAAAUCUCUAAGUACCUUGAAUAGAAAUGUUAUGAAUUCUUAGCCAAGAGUUAUAUCACUUUCAUCAACAACUUAGUUAAUAUGGUUCCUAUAGAUUUUUACCCAUGAGGAUGAACAAUUGUAAGAACUAUACUUUAUGUCACAAUUUCUCUUAAAUCAUGAACCAGUUCACUUUUUAUUUUGCAAACAAGUUUAAACUAUCAAAUUUUAUUUUAAUUGUGACACAAAGGUAAAGAAUUGGACAGACUGAGAGGGGGAAGAGUUAGCAAACCGGGCAGGAAAGAUGUGUUUCGUCGUAUAGAAGCUUCCUGGUGGGCCCAGGGCUCUAUGGAGGGGUCGGCCGACCCCACCUGGAGGUUCCUGGCCCUGCCACUCGAUUCUACGUCCCUCGGGAAGUCUUUCUGCACUUGUGUCGUUUCCUUUUGCCAUAGAAAGGGGGUCGGGCGACCCCCUCAUCGCGCCUGUUUUUGGUGCCAUGACGUGCCAAGGUGUAUGCAGUGUUGUUCCAUGCUCACGGCAGUUCAGAGAUGAAGUUGGGGGGGUCGGGCGACCCCCCCACACUUGCAGUUUUCGUGCAGCUGAACUUAAAACAGAGAGAGACGAUCAAAUGUAGAUGUCCUGCUGGUGGCAACACACCAGCAGGACCAAAAACGACUCCAUUAAAUCAAAUUUCAAUUGUAUAGGCACUUUUACAUUGCGAAAUUCAAAGUGACAAAUUGAAAAAUAAAAUUGAGUAAUCAAACCUAAAUAAUCAAAUAGUGCCUAUAACCUAAACUAACUAAUUUAUUUAGGGAGAUGGAGGUUUGAGGUGAUCCUCCCGCCCAAUUGCUUGCGCCAAACGCUUGAUUUUAGCGCUGGUGCUAAUGCGCAGGUGGUGGAAGUGAUCUUCUAACUCAAGAUUCUCCAUCCUGAGCUCCGACACUGUCUCCUCUAAGAUCCUAUUUUUCUUUCUAAGGCUAGCUGUGACUUCCAGGAGCUUCUCGAUGUCGCCUUUUUCUGGAUCUUCUUCGUAUUCGCCAGGCGCACCGUUGAUCGGAGGUGGAUCCAUCUUCCGCCGGAUGGAUGGACUUGCUGACGAGUCAAAGGACUCUCGCAACUCCAUCUUUUCCUUAG